CCUAGUUCUUUAUUAUUCUAUGAAGGCUACAAAGCUACGCGCAACCAAAUACAUAGAGAACAACGAAAUCCCUAGACCUCGAGAUCGGCUGAACCCCUGGAAGUCCUGCUCGAUUACAAAUGAUGGAGGACAAGACCGUUCAAAUUGGCGACACAGACAGACCACCUCCGAUGCAAACGUUAACACCAUUGCUGAAGUCGUGUCGUAGUUUACAUGGUCCCCAGCAGAUUUAGCCUGAAGCACUAGUGUUUACGGAAAGAUAGUUGCCUAAAAAGGGAGGCCAGACGAAUGUUGCCGAGAGUGGUUUUUCGUCGUCAGCGAGUCGUCAGAUAUGGGCCGUAAAGACCCAAUACAAGAAAGGCGUCGGGACCGCUAAGCCGCCGGGACGGUCAUUACAAAGGGCACAGCCGCACAGGGGGACACGAGAAUGAUGCUUAUAACGAUACCCUAGUGUAACAUCCGAGAAUAGUGAAUAGCUGUUGGGUUGGUCAAGAUUAAAGGCACAAGUUGCCAACCGAAUGCGAAGCGUUGUACGACGUACUGGCAUACAUAGCGCCAACGUAGUAGACUACGACAGGACCUGAAGGGUGCCUGCUUGAAGCAGAUGCAACGGUCAUCCGUAAGGUUGGUUUACAGAACCAUAUACCUUAGGAACCCUAGAUUCGACAGAACGAAGGAAAUGAUCCCUACUAACCGCACUGGAUGCGUUCCUAAAUCCAAUUUCACAAGCAUUGUUGGCUCGGAUCUGAUGGCGUCAGAUGACCAUGGCCGUAUGUGGCCGCAGUGUUGGAACCUGCAUAUUUCACUGGUAUUAUAUUUAGCAUGAAUGCCUACCGAGGAAAGUGAAGUAAUAAUGAAAGAAAUUCACGCUGCAAAAUUAAAAGCAACCACCUCGCCGUCAAGAUCGUUAAGCCACUUCAUCAGAAAGGCCUUGAUAGCUUUUAAAUAGGAUAAACGCAAGCCCUGAAAAUAUUAGACGGAUUAGUUAAGGUUGUCUAUCAUAGACAUAUACUAAAUCAAUAGGGUGUUUCAAUAGGUUAGCGAGGUAUCAUACAAACCCUGCUCAAAUAAACAUCGAUUUGUCAUUAUGUAAGAUUUGCAACAACAUCGAUUAUCCUUGGUUAACCUAAAUCUCGUUGCCGCUGUUCUGCAUAGUAGCAACUCAUUGCCGAAACAUCGACAUUGCUAACAAUACAAAAGGACCCGCGCUACCUUGAACGAUAAAUUUUUUUUGCCAUUUUUCAGAGAGAGAUUUCUUAUUAUGAAAUUUAUACAUAAAAAAAAUUAAAUAAGAAAUAUAUUUAAUAGGAGAUCGUAAUUAUUUAUACAUCUCAAUUAUAACUAUAUAAAGUAUAUAUAGUCGUAUCUGUUCAGGUUUAGUUAAACGUUUGUCAGCGACGAGCACCACUUUUCCGCAACGAGCUACUAUUACCAGUUAAAUCAAUAUGAAUUUCGCUAGCGAACAGUUUUCGUAGAGCUUUUCUAGAAAGCUCUGUAAAAAGCUGCCUAUGUCAAAACACAUCGAGUUCUCGGUACUACGGUACAUUUCUACUACAAUUUAUAAUUUUUCGUCAACUGAGGGUAACAAAAGCGUCUUACGUUAUAAGGCCUUAGACGUAAUUCAAGCUAUGUCUGACAGGCUCUUUUUUACGACCAAUGAUAUUGGCGAGAAUUCAGGACGAUGAAUUUCUUCGCUAUUGAAGGAUUACACGUUGAACGCUAAGACAGCGAUUGGUGUAGCCAUUCCGCACAAAUCACCAGAUCACUUCGGCUAGCGGAACUAUUAACGUAUCGAGGCGACGGAACUUCGCUAAAGUCAAACCGUGGAAUGAAUGGCUUUGUUUGAACUAGCUGGUGGGUCUUAUCCGUCGUCGUGAAGCCCUCGGACAGUUAAUCUCACCUUAAGUCUAUUCGACACUCCCACGGUGGAGCUCAUAUAUAUUCGCUUGGAUGCAUGAGGCUGCGAUAGAGGCAACGCUAUUUAAUCCUUCUGCCCGCGUAUAACCGUUGGUCAGCUCCUCUGAGAAGACUUCUGUGACUCGUCUAGCUACAUGUCUUUCGAUGGCAACAGUUUGGCAAAAGAAAACCUCCCAUCGACUCGGUAGUCGAAGUAACUGCUCAGACACAAUAGUUACUAUUGAUAGCUUCGAGUACGCCAUCUACUGGGAAGCCUAGAGCUCGGCAACAAGGCUCAUCUCAUGCCAAGCUAGGUAAUAAAGGGAAACUCGCACAUCGCAAAUCUACAAGAUCAUAAACUGGUUUUUUUACUCUCGACAAUUUCAACACUAUAUCGUGACUUGGGACUAAUGACACGUGUGCUACAUUUCAAGAGACACAUGAGGGCCAUCUGUAGCAAGUUGAACUUCGGACUCCCUUUGUUUCAUUGUACUAUAGUCUCCUGUAUUCUUUCGCCAAGCAAUAUUAAGCAUUUCAAACUGCUAUGAACAUUUGGUGCUUACUAAGUAUAAGUACAGCUGUAUAUGGAGCGUAAAACUAUCUGGCUAUUGAUAACCUGUUUCGUUCUUGUCCACCAAACUGGACAAUUGCGUGUUGAGUCGUUGUUUCAGCAUUCGAAUAUUAAGGAAUUAGUGGCUUGUUUAAGGUAAAGUAGACCGAUCUCACCUGUUGGACGCCUAUAGGGGGUGCAUGCCGUACUAGACCGCAUCCUCCGAGCACCUCUGAUAGCCUAACGAGCGAAGAUUUGGCAGAGGAGGUCGCGGCCUUCAUCUCAGGCGCCGUUCUCUACGAGCGUAUAGUUAGUUUUGAAUAAUUAAAUUCGCUGAAGCAAUCAUUGAAUUGCAUAAAAAGCUACGAUGAGCUAUAAUGCACCUGUUACAAUGAUAGCAAUUAGUACACGAUCAUUUACAAUAAAUUAUAUAAAAUAUUGUUUAAGCGAAAUAGAAGAACCGAGUAAGCAGCUGUGUGUGAAGAAAUGACAUUAGUAGAUUCAGUGUUAUCUAUGAGGCUUUUUCUUCUCUUUUCGAGCGCUGUACAACUGGAAAAAUGAUCUGUUCAAUUCAAUAUACCAUAACAUGUCGUCUUGUACAAUAUGGCAUAGUAGAAGGAUAUUGGUUGUACGAUGACAAGGAAUAACGGGCAUGAAUGAGGUUGAAUAGGGACGAUUUCCAUUAGAACUUUGACACGGUCGAGCGAAUCUUCAACCGGGAUAUCUCGUUCUCUCCAAUUUGCACCAUUCCGGAAAUUGUUAUUUAACUCUAAGCAGUCAAUGGCGGUUCUAUUCCGGUGAACUCGUAUCAUAAGGUAACUUGCUUUGAUAACUUUAUUACAUUAAUGGCCGGCAGUAUUGUGCGAACGAGGAGGCGGGAUAGUGUAAUGAUAUUUGCUUUAUAUAUAUAUAUAUAUAAGAUUCUUCGAGCCAAAAGCGUAGAGCCACGACCUCGUGCGAAUCCGACGGCCGGCAAACGAUGUCCUGGCAAACAAUCAUACGGACACCAGGUUACGUUACACUUUGUAUCACUCGCGUCCCACGCAAAACAGUGUUUCUAUUCCCUCUAGAGUGCUAAUGAAAUGCGUCGGCAGCACGCUAUGAUGAUACACUAGGGAUCAUGAAAUAAAUUUCCUAACGACUAACUAUAAAUAGAUUGUGAUUCUUUGUCCGGGAGUCACUAUAGUGAAACACGUGUUUCAA